CUAAAAAUCUAGCCGACCCCCCCCCCCCUUUUUUUUCCAAACAAAAUAAAAUAUUCUAUCAACCUAGUAAAGAAGAUUAAAAAAUUUCUAAGAGCUAUAAAAAUGUACCGCAAGGGAAAGAUGAAAUAAAAAUGAAAUAUACUCAAGCACAAAAAAAUAGAGAUACAUCCUCGUACCUUUUGCAUCAUGGUUUAGCCAGUCUAAUUAGGCAAAAAGAAUUUGAGUCUAACUUCCCGAAACUAAGUGAGCUAAUUUGGGGCUGCUUAAAGAGCUAACCCGUCUAUGUUGAAAAAUAGUGGGAUGACCCCAGAAUAGAAGUGACAGACCUAACGAACUUAGUUAUAGCUGGUUUCUCAAGAAAAGAAUCUCAGUUCCGCCUAAAGUAAUUUAAAUCCUUACAGAUAUUCUCAGACCUUUAGAGUAAAUCAAAUAAGGUACAGCCUAUUUGAUACAGAACACAACCUUCAACAACGGGUAACACAACUUAAAACUUAAGUGGGCCUAAGAGCAGCCACCUUUUAAAAAGCGUCAAAGCUUACACUAUACUUCAAUUCGUAAACCACUAUUGAUCCCUUCAACCCUAUUGAGAACUCCUAUAACCCUUAUAGGACAUUUUAUGCUAAAACUAGUAACAAGAGGUUACCCCUCUCCACAAUGUAAACUCAAACCAGCUUGAACCCCUCACUGGUAUCCAACAGACUUUGACUAAAGUAAUAACUCUUCUAGAAAAUAUUACUUUCACCACUGUUAACCUAACACAAGAACAUUUUAAGAAAGAUUAAAAGAAAAAGAAGGAACUCGGCAAAUAUUAAGUCCGCCUGUUUACCAAAAACAUCACCUCUUGCCCUCACCAUAAGAGGCCCAGCCUGCCCAGUGAUUUUAUUCAACGGCCGCGGUAUCCUAACCGUGCAAAGGUAGCGUAAUCACUUGUCUCCUAAAUAGAGACUAGUAUGAAAGGCAUCACGAGACUUAUACUGUCUCCUCUCUCUAAUCAGUGAACCUAAUCUCCCCGUGAAGAAGCGGGGGUAAUUUUAUAAGACGAGAAGACCCUAUGGAGCUUAAAACAGUACUACACGUGCCACACAUAUCCCUUUACCAAGGUCCUAAUCCCAUAAGCACGCUGAUUACAUGUUUUUGGUUGGGGUGACCGCGGAGAACAAACUACCCUCCACGAUGAAAGUGGUACUACCACUAAACAAUAAGCCACAACUUUACCCAUCAAUAAACUGACAUUAAUUGACCCAAUAAUUUGAUCAACGAACCAAGUUACCCUAGGGAUAACAGCGCAAUCCACUUUAAGAGCCCCUAUCGACAAGUGGGCUUACGACCUCGAUGUUGGAUCAGGGUAUCCCAGUGGUGCAGCCGCUACUAAAGGUUCGUUUGUUCAACGAUUAAAACCCCACGUGAUCUGAGUUCAGACCGGAGUAAUCCAGGUCAGUUUCUAUCUAUAACAGAGUUAUUUUUAGUACGAAAGGAUCAAAAUAACAUAGCCAAUAUACAUUACAAGCUAUAACUGGUUAUUUUAGACCACCACUCAAAAAAUAACUAACCUUA
rnacentral:rRNA from 1 species